AACCCCUUCGGACCCAACGUCCAUUGAAAUGGACAUGACAUAUUUCUGUCUCUAAACCAAUAAAUACCCUGCAACUGAAUGAUGUCAAUAAUGCUGGUUACUGAUUGGAUCCUGCUUAUCCAAUCACAAUCAUGUCAUGACUUUGAGCAUGCUCAGAGACAGUGACAAACAUCGGACAAGACAAGCAUGGCGGAGCAGCUGCAGAGAGGGAGGAAGUAUCGAGUUGAAGACUUUCUUGAACGGCUUGUAAACGGAGAGUUAUCUGAGCUUGACUCUUUGAAUUCAGGAGAUGAGGGGGAUGGGACCAGGAUUGAGAUAGGUGUUUCUGGGAUUUCCUGGUGAUGACCUCACUUCUGUUCCCUACCUAUGCUGUGAUAUCCUUAUCAAGUUCAUGUGCAUGUUCAGAACUGUACACAGACUCAAGCACCUGCAAACAUCCUGUUCCAGAUGUUUAGUUAAUACCUGAUUGAAUACUUUGUGUAAAAACUCAGCCUUAUCUUUCUUAAGAUUGUAUGACAUUUUACGCCCAUUGUGUCAUGGCGUCCAUUUGAAUGGACAUGAAAAAAUACUAUUAAAAACAUGAGUUAGCAAAAA